rnacentral:rRNA from 1 species
UACGGAGGGUGCAAGCGUUAUCCGGAUUCACUGGGUUUAAAGGGUGCGUAGGAGGACUGGUAAGUCAGUGGUGAAAUCCCCGAGCUUAACUUGGGAACUGCCGUUGAUACUAUCAGUCUUGAAUACCGUGGAGGUGAGCGGAAUAUGUCAUGUAGCGGUGAAAUGCUUAGAUAUGACAUAGAACACCAAUUGCGAAGGCAGCUCGCUACACGAAUAUUGACUCUGAGGCACGAAAAGCGUGGGGAUCAAACAGG